CUUACAUUAAAGACAGCAGAAUAGCAGAAGAAGCUUAAGGACACAUCAAGGACUCCUUCAUUUCUUAUCAAGUACCUUGAUAUUCAACAACAUAUCAGUCGGUGGGCAAGAGGCCUCUGUCUGGUGACGAUCUGAAGAUAUGAUAAUGCUGGCAGUUUGGACAGAAGUUGCUAGAAAUAAUGUAGGAACCAUGGAAAAUACUGCUGCUAAAUGCUGUUAUGGAAAGUCGUCAUAUUCGGUAUGAUUUUUAAAUUUCAUACAACACUCAGAAGUCAUAUGUUUGAGCUACUCUGUGACAUUUAAUCAUUAAUAGAAGAUUUGGGGUAUACACUACAGAUGGGCCCUGUUUGCUGAAAUGUUGGGGCCAAACAACUUGAUAGAGCCUAUGAUGUUCCUUUCAAGCUUUCUAAAGUUUCCACCAACCUCAGAUGAAAAUGUAACUGUGAGAAGUAAAUUUAACAACAUUGUUGUCUGCAUAUGUGUGCCAAAAUGGAAGACAGAAUCAUGAAAAAGAAGCUUAUUUUAUAACCAUGGUGGUGGCUCAUGUUUGAGUAGUAAUGACCUAAGCCCCAAAGGCCAAAAGUAAAACCUCCUACCCCAAACCCGCCUGUAACUGUCUGACCAGUUCCCGGAUGCAGUCAAGACGUCUACCUUACACAACAGAACUGGCAAGAAAAACAUCCCCAGGAAGCGGUCAGACACCUGGCACAAAGGACCCUACAACUCUUUUCUUUUUCCUUCACCUUGACCCAGUUCUACACCCUAUAAAACCUUGCUAUAGCCUGUAAGCGGGGCUGCCUCCUCUGCUUUUGUCAGGAGGUAGCCCGGCAGGACUGACAAUAAAUCAGCUUGCCUGAACUUAGGUCUAUUGGCCUCAUUCCUUUCUCGGCUGUCCUUCCAAUUAUCCCUUGUAUCUUGGUGCCGAAACCCGGCAAGGUGGUAGAGCUCGGCCUCCCUUUCUCCCUCUCUCCUUUCCUCCCCGCUUCCCCCGGCCAAACUCCCCCUUCCAGAACGUGCUGGAGACCCAGAGGAUUUCCUACUCCUUUCCAUUGCUGGCAGACACAUCCAACACCAGGGCCACCUCAGGGGUGAGUAAAGGAGACUUCUGCCUUCUGUCCGGAACCCUUG
rnacentral:lncRNA from 1 species